UGCGUAGGUGGCGAGCGUUGUCCGGAAUCACUGGGCGUAAAGCGCGCGCAGGCGGCGAUCUACGUCUGGGGUGAAAGCCCGGAGCUCAACUCCGGGACUGCCUUGGAUACGGGAUCGCUUGAGGAUCGGAGAGGCAAGGGGAAUUCCACGUGUAGCGGUGAAAUGCGUAGAGAUGUGGAGGAACACCUGUGGCGAAGGCGCCUUGCUGGCCGAUUUCUGACGCUGAGGCGCGAAAGCGUGGGGAGCAAACAGG
rnacentral:rRNA from 1 species